GCGGGUGUUCGUAAACAAAAAUAACGGCUAGGUUUUGACGAUUUGUAUCAGCCUUAUCUGGAGGAGGUUUAGUCAAGGUAUCGAUAUAGAAAAGAUGUCCCAUCAAAUGUGUAUACUGCUAAAUUGCUUUGACAAGCAGCCUCAGCACUGAUAAUCGCUGUACCAGCUAGGCAGAAACUGUGAGUGAGUAUAGAAUUAAUCCACCUACAAAUUCAGAUGCCUGUGAAAUAUCGGUCCAAGCUGCAGUAAGGAAUGUUCCAUAUGCCAGAUCUUGAUUAGGAAACAGCAUCAUAUGCAGAGCUACAAAACAAAGAGGCCAGCCAUUUACAGUGUGUUGAUGAAACGUCCAAAAUGGUGUAUGAAGAGUGCAUGGACUAAAACUGCUCUUCCACUAUCACAGCUGAGGGACCUCAUUAAAAUUUGUUCAUAGUGAGAUGAACCAGCCGUCUGACUACUGAUGAUCCUGGAGUUACACGUGAGCCAGCCUCCUUAGACCGUAGGAUUGCAGAGUGUCCAGUACCAUGAAUUGCUAUGUGGGCAGCUGUGUGGGCUCUAGCAGGGAAGUUCCUGUGCCAUGUGACUGUUUUUCGAUGGUUUUUUGUAACAGUCUGUUGAAAGCUUCACAUUUCUGAGUAGUGCCUUGAACACUGUGGAUGAGAAUGCUGAGCACCAGAAAAAGCCUUGCUGUCUCCAUCGGUGAUACGAUGUAGCAGCUUGACAGAGUCUUGAACUUCCUGACUGGCUUCUCUGACCCAGGCCUCUCCAUCACCAAUGACAGAUCCCUGUGAGAUGUUAGCUGUACAGACAUGGCGAGGACAGUCUUUCCACCAACAUAGUUUGCUGUCCUCUGAAGUCCAGUAUAAGAUGGGGGAUGAUAUUGGCAGCUGCACAGAUCUCUAUUACAGCUUUAUUGGAGAUAGAUGACCCCAGUAAACCUGCCUGCAUCCCAGUAUUGAGCUUACUUCGCCUUCGGAGCAGCUUCGAACACUCUUCCUCCUCAAACAGUAACUGUGCAAGCAUGUCAGAGACUCCCUCAGAAGAGUUGAGCUGAUUCUGAGGAGAGUUAGAAAAUUGGAGUCACAACUUCUACCAGCUCCUGAAGUAUCACAAGCUAUCUGGCAUGGAGAGUGGCAGAUGGAUAUCAUGAUGACAUCCAUCUACAUUUCAUAAAGCCGUAUCAUGCCCGUUGUCUUGUUGAUGGGAUGUUUGGUAUUGCCUGAAGGAAAAUUCAACGCAGUUAUGUAGAUAGUUUGUCUGACCUGAAGAUGACCAUCGUUGCUUCAUCCACACUAGCCAGGCUGAUGUAUAUAGUGAGCUGUCACCAAACUCGUGGAUCUGGAGAGAUUGGAAACAAUUUAAUUGUUUUGAAGCCUGUAUUUAGAGCUGUUCCUGGUAGUGGGAAAUAUCAUCACUUUCACUUUGCUACCACCACUUCAGGAAUGGUCAGAGUAAAGAAAAGUGUUGAUGAGGAGACAACUGCAGUGAGGCUUGUGAAGAUUAUUACACAGGGUUUGCCAGUGAGACUGGAGGCAAAGGGUUUUUCAGCAGAAUGUGCCUGGUACCUGUACAAAAACAUCAGGAUCCGUCUAAGGUCCUUCUAUGUCCUCUCCACACCGUCCCAGAAUCCACCUCUAGACCCACCCACACAGAAGAGUGAACUGAAAGUUGAAGAUCAAAUAAUUAUUUUAAAUCUUAAGUCUUGUUCUUGACUAUAAAUACCCUGCAUAUGCUUUCUUUUUACAUUAUAAAAUCAGCAUUGUUUGUUGAGAUAUAGUUAGAUACAAUUUCAAAAUUUAUGUUUUAACUUUUUACACUGCAUGUAAUUACGUGUAACAAUAUAAUCCUGAUGGAGUCCAGUUUAAACAGAGUUCACUUUUCAAUAUGUCACGUGACUCCGGGGAUUCUUUUCACUCACGACAAAGUCUUGAAUACAUUUCAUGAUACAUUUAUUUAUUCCUUCCUCUCGACAACCCCAGCACAGCUGGAUAAUCUCAUCUUGCGCGAGCAUAGAGAUGAGUUGACUGUAUUUGUAUUUAUCAACGUCCGUACAGGUCAGUCCCAGGCUUCAAAGUGACAGGGAAAGGACAGGUAACAUGCAUGCAUGCACACUUACAUCAACAACCAAUCAGAACUCUUUCCCAAUAUGAACAAAUAUACAACCAUACCCAAUCAUCACCCCUACCUGUACACACGUCACACCUAAGACUGGACACUGCGACAAGACUGCGACAGGACACUGUACACGUACAUAACAUAUAAUAUAUAUAGACACGGGUCACUACACACGAUACGAACUCUAUACGCACAUUCAUUAUGCCGCACAGUGUUUAUAAUAAUAAACAACCUGGUGACAUCCUCCCCUCUUAGAGUAAAUGCCUCCUGGCAUCUAACCUGAAAUCUAAAAAUGUUCGGUAAUCAAGCACAAACAUGAUUUUGUACCAAAGUUGAACCUGUGAGUAAACAGAAAUAAAUGCUUAUUAGAUUAAUAUAAUCAAACUUUACUGGCUCUGAAAUGAAAACAAGAAACCGUCAUUAAUGCAAUUACUAACAAACACACCCUGUAAAUGAAAACUGGGGAAUUAGUUAGAAUUGAAAAUAAGUGUUGUCACAUAACAAGGAUGAACUUAAGUCACACCCAACUGAGUACAGUAGAUUCCUAGCAUCUACGCUGAAAAGGAAUUAUCUAUACCUCACUUAAACACUAUUACAUUCAAUUAAGGAGUUUGCUGUGGAAUUCAUCAAUACAAAUCCACCACAUCAUAAUCGUAUCCACUAGAUAUCAAUGUAUCUGCCUGCUUCCCUAGAAAAAGAAACAGCAAAAUGCUUAAAACUUCGACAUCGUCACUUAAAUAAAAAAAACAAGUACUCUUGUACCCUUAUACUACAGAAAGCCUAUUUACACAAAUAUUUCCUCAUUGUCAGACAAGUUACUCUGACCAACAAGUUGUUGUACCCAACUUCAAAGUCUGUCUGGCUGACGAGUAUGCCGUACUGGUCUUACCCGUAAAUUUCCAAUUUCCCUCGCAAGUGAAUUAUACGAUCUCCGUCGGGCCGGAAUGACAUAUCGGGGUAUAUCAGUUUCGUACUCACCGUCUGUUGUGUCCUCCGUUGACUCGCUGCUAUCCACUUGAAUAGUUCGUUCUCGUUGCGUUGGCCCCACGUUGGGCGCCAUUUGUCACGUGACUCCGGGGAUUCUUUUCACUCACGACAAAGUCUUGGAUACAUUUCAUGAUACAUUUAUUUAUUCCUUCCUCUCGACAACCCCAGCACAGCUGGAUAAUCUCAUCUUGCGCGAGCAUAGAGAUGAGUUGACUGUAUUUGUAUUUAUCAACGUCCGUAUAGGUCAGUCCCAGGCUUCAAAGUGACAGGGAAAGGACAGGUAACAUGCAUGCACGCACACUUACAUCAACAACCAUAACCAUACCCAAUCAUCACCCCUACCUGUACACACGUCACACCUAAGACUGGACACUGCGACAAGACUGCGACAGGACACUGUACACGUACAUAACAUAUAAUAUAUAUAGACACGGGUCACUACACACGAUACGAACUCUAUACGCACAUUCAUUAUGCCGCACAGUGUUUAUAAUAAUAAACAACCUGGUGACAUCUAUGUUUCUAUUGUAUCAAAUAUAAUAAAAAAAUUACUGUUUUUUUAUGCAAGAGAAGUGACUGAUUGUUUUUAUAUGCAAGAGUUUUUUGCUAUGGGGUAUCGUCCUGCGUCGGUCGUGCAGCGUGUGUUGUCCGUUUUUUUAUCCGAGAGUGUUGAAAUUAGAAUUGAAUGAUUAGUUAGAAGGUCCUGACUAGAUAUUUGUAUGUAUUAAGUGAAAAUAAAAUUCAAGAUGGCUGCCAUGAUCGCCAUCUUUGAAAUUAUAUUUUUCCUUAUAACUCCAAUAUUAUUUGCUUCAUAGUAAGAAGACUUUCUAGGAAUGUUCUAGUGACAUUUCUGAUCCAGAAGUGUUGUUUCAAAAAUUCAUUGAAUUUACAAGAUGGCCACCACAGCAAUUAUCUCCUGAUGAGCUAUGGAAAAGUACUUAAGUUUUUGUUUGUGGACAAGAUAACUAUUGACUGGUUCAUCGUUUAGAGUUGAUUUUCAAUAACAAGGUCCAGAAAGUGAUGGUAAAGUGGCGAGUUUAAUUUUUGGUACAUAUAAUGAGUGGCUGAUUUUUAAUUAGUUUAAUGGUAUGGUUUGUACCUGUCUGUAUACACUGUAUACAUCUUCAGUGUGAACAUUGCUGGUAGGGGUCCCAAAUGGGGGAACUGGCAGCUGACUAGCUUGGCUAGUGUAGUACACAUUCUAGCUGAUUAGACAUUCUGAAAUUUCGACUUUAAAAAAAAGGACCAGGAUCAGGUUCAAUAUGUAAAUCAGUUUUCAAAAAGGUAUGUUCUGUCUGUUGAAGAUUUUGAGCAAAAGUAAUCUUUUUUGUUUUGUUUUGUAUAAAACUAUGUAUGCUUUCUAGAUAAUGGAUAAGUAUACAAUGUAUAUAUACACAUCCAUUAUACAGGGUGUUGCCUUAAUGCUGUACAGUAAUAUAUAGGUAUCUUCACUUGAAUGCUAAAUUACUUAGUUCUGUAGAACAUUUCUUUGUGUAAGAUAACCAUGUUUUUGUAUCGUCUACUAUUUGUUACCAGUUAGUUUUGAUGCCAAAACCUGUUAGCUUAAUCUCUGGAUGAAACCAUGGUAUUGCUGGUUUAGGGUCACACAGGAAAACAAUAAAAUUAAUUAGAUAAAGGGCAGCAGAGGUCUGGGAAUGGAGUCCUAUCUCUUAUUACUAAGUAAUGAAAUCUGACCAGUUACCCAGUUUAUAGCUUUAAAUCACUGAUAACUAGCUGUUGACAAAUGUGUUUUGGGUAUUAAGUGUACCUUGUGUAAAUAUGGUAAAUACAAGAAAACUUCUGAUAAUUUAAAUCAAAUUUGUAGAGAAUCUUUAGGUUUCUAAUUGAUUGGUCAUAUGCAUAUAUAUUAUGUAGUGAUUAUGUGCAAGUGGAAAGCAUAUGUCACAUUGAUACUAUUGAUGACCAAUUCGACUUGUGACCUUUGGUGACUUAUAUAUCACUCUUCACAUUGCUCUAAGUUGUGACUUGUGCAAAUGAAAAGUAGGACAACAUCUAGAAUUAUGUAGGUCGGUGACCUACUUUUAAAACAAUAAUGAUAAGACAACAUCAAUUGACAUCUAGGAUGAUAAUUGCAUGCCGAUAACUAAUAUUGCAAAAUUAGGUCACUGUGACCUACUGUUUCAAUAAUUUUAUUAGGAUUACAGAAAUGGAUAUCUAGGAUUAGAAAGGCAUGCUGAUAGUAAAUAUUGCAAAAUUAGGUCACUGACCUACUUUUCCAAUAAUUAUAUAAGGGCAACAGAAAUGAACAUCAAGGAUGAGAAAGGCAUGCUGAUAACAAUUAUAGCAAAAUUAGUUCACUGUGACCUACUUUUUCAAUAAUUAUAUUAGGACAACAGAAAUGGACAUCAAGGAUGAGAAAGGCAUGUCGUUAGCAAAUAUUGCAAAAU